UGUCAGGGGCGGGAUAUCGAACCCACAACCUUCCGCUUACCGGGCAGAUGCCAUGUCCACUAGGCUACCCUGGAC
rnacentral:tRNA from 1 species